rnacentral:rRNA from 1 species
AGAAGGCCGCUUGUCUCCCUGAUGAUGCUUAUCUCCUGGGAAAUAUGGAAGGAGCGAAAUGUUAGAGUUUUCUGCAACAUGGCCGUUCCAGUGGGAGUGUUGGUCGCCAAGAUUAAAGAGGAAUGCUCGUUUUGGAGCCUUGCGGGAGCAAAACAUUUGUGUAACAUUAUAUCGCCAGAGUGA